rnacentral:lncRNA from 1 species
GUUGGAUUCUAGGUUCUUCUCAUCUUGAACAAAGAACUGAAUGAAAGGAGCAAAAAGCAGUGGACAGAUCCAUCUGAUGGUUCUAAGAAAGAAUCUGAAAGAAUCCUGAAAGACUGCAAAGGCAAAACUAGAAGAAAAAACUCUGAGUCCUUUUGCUUGUGGUAGAGGAAAGAUGAAUACGAGCAGUCUCCAGAAAGGAGGUGAGGCCAGAUGCUGUGUCCAGGAUUUGACAGCUACUGGAGGCUUCUUUUGGAAGAAGAUGAGAGAGAAUGAGCAAAGUUCCAAGAACUGCUAAACAGAACCUUUGUCUGACUGUAAUCCUGGGAAAAUUGCUUAACCAGUAUGAACCUCCAUGUCAACAUCUGGAUAUACAGGACCACCAAAAACAGAUAGUACCUCAAAGCAACAUCAUGAAGAUUAGAUAAUGUGUGUAAAAGUACUAAUAAAAC